GUUGCCCAGAAUAGAAUCUUAGUUCAACUUUAAACUUACCUCAAAAACCCAUAAUUCCAAUGUAAGUUUAAAAUAUAGUCUAAAAAGGUACAGCUUUUUAGAAUUAGGAUACAGCCUUUAUUAGAGAGUAAGCAUAAACAAGAACCAUAGUUGGCCUAAAAGCAGCCAUCAAUUAAGAAAGCGUUCAAGCUCAACAAUCAAAACAUCUUAAUGUCAAAAAUAUGCAACCAACUCCUAAUUUAAAACUGGGCUAAUCUAUUUAAUAAUAGAAGCAAUAAUGCUAAUAUGAGUAACAAGAAACAUUUCUCCCUGCAUAAGUUUAUAUCAGAACGGAUAACCACUGAUAGUUAACAACAAGAUAUAUAUAACCUAACCAUAAAUAAAUAUCAAACUAAUUGUUAAUCCAACACAGGCAUGCAAAUUUAGGGAAAGAUUAAAAGAAGUAAAAGGAACUCGGCAAACACAAGCCCCGCCUGUUUACCAAAAACAUCACCUCUAGCAUUUCCAGUAUUAGAGGCACUGCCUGCCCAGUGACACUAGUUAAACGGCCGCGGUAUUCUG
rnacentral:rRNA from 1 species